rnacentral:rRNA from 1 species
UACGGAGGGGGCCAGCGUUGUUCGGAAUCAUUGGGCGUAAAGGGCGCGUAGGCUGCUGUGCAAGUCGGAGGUGAAAGCCCUCGGCUCAACUGAGGAAUUGCCUUUGAUACUGCACGGCUUGAGUCCCGGAGAGGGUAGCGGAAUUCCCAGUGUAGCGGUGAAAUGCGUAGAUAUUGGGAGGAACAUCGGUGGCGAAGGCGGCUACCUGGACGGCGACUGACGCUGAGGCGCGAAAGCGUGGGGAGCAAACAGG